AUCCGCUAAACCAGCCUGGAGAGAUCUGCUAAAAUCACAUCAUUAGAAACGUCACCUUCUGAGGCUUGAAGGAUGUUCCUGAGUUUGUGCCCAUGGAUUAUAAGAGAUGGAGCUGCUGAGGUUUAGAAAAGCUACAUAACUUGGGCCCAGUCACACACCAAUUAGAGGCAUGGCUAAGUUCUGGAGGGUAGAAGUGUGAAAUCAAGGUAUCAGCAGGGACAUUCUCUUUCUGAAGACUCCAGCAGCCCAAAUGGACUAAGACAACAACCCAGGAAGGGGCACCUCAUCAAGAACUGAAUCUGCACCUUGAUCUUGAACUUCCCAG